UUGAUCUGAUGACGAGAUCCAACACUGUUCCCAUUUUGAUAUAUUUGUCUAAAUUACAUAGCUAUAAAUUUCACGUCAGCUAGCGGAGAAUGAGGAAUUGUUUGAGAAGGCCAAAAAGCCUAAAGUAUAAAGGUAGCCAUGCCAGCACUAACAAGUUCUAGAGGACAGCCAUUCAGUCCACUCUAGCAGCAAUACUUCAAGAUGGUAAUUUCCUUGGUUCAAUCCCAGAGGAAAUUGGUUUUCAUAUCUUGAUCCGAGGCAUGUAGAAAGUAUCGUACAAAGGAGUGGUAUCUACAUUGGUUCAUGUAGAGAAAGCCUUGGCGGUUCCAAAAGGCUCAAGAUGCAUGGUGAAAGGCAAUGUCGUGGCAGAGCAUGCAUACAGAUAUUAUUGCCAUGAAGUGAUUUUCUGGUUCAUUAUCAGAGGA